UGGUUAAUAGUUUUUGGUGUAUUGUUUUGUGUUACUGUUCAGAAGGAUCGAGCUCAACAAAAAUCUAAAUAUCAACCAUGAUAAGAGCUAUUGGUGGAAACGACGAUGGUAAUUGUAUCAGAUGCGCCCUCAGAGCUACUACUUAUGAAGGAUGAGGUAGCUAACUGCUAUUCGUGGUCUGGCCAGAAAAAUACGAAGAAAGUUUUUUUAUAAAAAAAAAUAUGCGAUCUCUUGAUAGGUACAAUAGUUAAAACUGACCCACUAUUUACCGUUAAAAAGUGUCAAAUGCAUGUUCAAAAAUGGCUGCAACAUGCGUCUGAUCGACUAGAAAAAAAAAAAAACAAAUAGUCUCAGGAUGAGUAAUGGAAGAAUCGAUAGCUUAGAUGUAUAGAUUCAUGGCAUUUUUCAUAUUCAUAAACUUUUUUGAGCAGACAUUAGUAUGUAAUUUAAACAUCUUAAAAAAAAACUUUUAUUUUUUACGUCACAUUUAUUUAUUAUUUAUUGUGGCAUGUUAACAGAUUUUAAUUGUAAAAGUUUUGUAUACGAUUCAUGUCCUGCGCUUUCACGUAUAAACAUUUACUUUUUGCGAAAUACAAUGUAGAAAGAUGCAUAAAAUGAAGUUCUUCUGGA